UUUGACAUGACAUUCUCAUAUGUCGCUGCUGGAUGGGAAGGUUCUGCGUCAGAUCAAGCAGUUCUAAGAUGGGUUGUUACUAGUGGGGGUUUUGUUGUUCCUGAAGGUAAAUUUUAUCUUGUUGAUUCUGGAUAUGCAAAUACUCCAAAAUUUAUUGCCCCGUACCGUGGAGAUCGUUAUCAUAUUGCUUCUUUUCGUGGAAGUAAUCGACGAUAUACUAGUGAGAAAGAUAUGUUCAAUCAUCUGCACGCACAACUACGAAAUGUUGUUGAGCGAACUUUUGGUGUUCUAAAAGCUCGCUUUCCAAUUUUAAGUAGGAAAGGAGGAAUUCCUUAUCCAUAUAAAACACAAGUCAAAAUUGUUAUGGCUUGU
rnacentral:rRNA from 1 species